rnacentral:rRNA from 1 species
AUUGAACGCUGGCGGCAUGCCUUACACAUGCAAGUCGAACGGCAGCACGGGUGCUUGCACCUGGUGGCGAGUGGCGAACGGGUGAGUAAUACAUCGGAACGUACCUUAUCGUGGGGGAUAACGCAGCGAAAGCUGUGCUAAUACCGCAUACGCCCUGAGGGGGAAAGCGGGGGAUCGCAAGACCUCGCGCGAUUAGAGCGGCCGCUGCCUGAUUAGCUAGUUGGUGGGGUAAAAGCCCACCAAGGCGACGAUCAGUAGCUGGUCUGAGAGGACGAUCAGCCACACUGGGACGGCGACACGGCCCAGACUCCUACGGGAGGCAGCAGUGGGGAAUUUGGGACAAUGGGGGCAACCCUGAUCCAGCAAUGCCGCGUGAGUGAAGAAGGCCUUCGGGUUGUAAAGCUCUUUUGUCAGGGAAGAAACACCGGCUCUAACACAGUCCGGGAAUGACGGUACCUGAAGAAUAAGCACCGGCUAACUACGUGCCAGCCGCCGCAGUAA